rnacentral:sRNA from 1 species
GCCGACGUUCGAAGGUGACCGCAGGGAGU